rnacentral:rRNA from 1 species
UACAGAGGUCUCAAGCGUUGUUCGGAUUCAUUGGGCGUAAAGGGCGCGUAGGCGGCGGGGUAAGUCUGGUGUGAAAUCUCGGAGCUCAACUCCGAAAUUGCACUGGAUACUGCUCUGCUUGAGGGUUGGAGAGGAGAUCGGAAUUCACGGUGUAGCAGUGAAAUGCGUAGAUAUCGUGAGGAAGACCAGUGGCGAAGGCGGAUCUCUGGACAAAUCCUGACGCUGAGGCGCGAAGGCUAGGGGAGCAAACGGG